rnacentral:rRNA from 1 species
CCUGAGAAACCCAAAAGAUCGAAUGAGGAGAUUCAUCGUCACGCGUAUUCGGUAUAUGUGCAUGUNAUGAUAUAAGAUUAUCCUUGUGAUAAUAGCUUGUACGUUCUUGUAUGAUUUAAUUGCUGAAUAUCGUCGGCGUGCANUUCUCCCCUAGUGGGACGUCGCGACCCGUUWAGUGUUGGUCUACGGCCCGGAUGGAUGUCUUCGAUAUCGCUGUAAGGUGUUAUGUUGAAGGCCACCGGUGUUUUCUGUCCAACUGCUUGACGCUAUUCGCWCGGUAUUGAGCCGCAAUUUUAAAUGCGUCAAACCCAUCACAAGCAAAGUCAGUGAUUUACCUGGUAGUACGGACCUAGUGCUGUCUCUGGGCCUGACCUGCUAUUAGUUGUAUGGUGAUCUUUGACUGGGUCAUUGAAUAUAACAUAUACCGGUCAGCGACGCUACUGCUUUGGGUACUUU